CUAGCUGCUACAACAUCUAUUUAGAUAUUUAAUUGAGACAAUGUGAGACGGACCUGUUAGAAUAAACAGGGAAGAGAUAAAGAAGAAAACAAAAAGGAAGAGUUGCUAUAAAGAAAAAUUCUCUUGCUAUAUAAAGGAAAAUCGUAUUACGUGCGUGAGAUAUAUUCAAUCAAUUUGCGACGAUAUGAUGUACGUCGACUUAGCAAGUUCCUUGUCAGGAACAACCCCGAGAAUCCGGGGCUAUACGAGCCCCGAAGAAAAUGGCGUGAACACCAGCGGAACAACCGACAAGAAGACAAAUCGAAAAUCCGUUACGAGGCAAUACUCGGUACUGCGCAACGCAAAACAAUCCAGUCACAUUCAAAAACAAAAAAAGAAAUGGAAGAUGAAGAAGAAUACAUUAGAGUGCAAAAAUUCAGAAAGCUCAAAAAAAUUUGAAACUGAACAAAUGAUCAAGGUGCAUUUCAAAAAAAAAAAAAAAAAAACGGCUUCGGUGAGUUCUUAAUUAAAGUAACAAGAAUUUUUAGUUCGUGAUAAUUGAACUCGGAGCUAAAGGAAUUUGAAGUGUCCGUUGCUUAAUUGAUAGAUUUAUGGAAAAAUUUUGGAGAUAAUUAAUUAAAGUAAAAGAGCACAUGCAAGAGCUCAAGACAAAUCGUGUACGAGUACGAAACGACGUAUUGUGACGCUAUAGAUUAUCGAAACAGAGACAAGUAGAAGUAAUUUUAUUCUAGUUUUGUUAUGUCAUUACGAUGCUUGUUGUGUUAAUUUUUUUAUCAUAUAUAAUUUUCUCUGCGUCUUAAAAACGUAUAUCUCUAACUUUUUAUAUUCUCACAUCAUCACACCUAUGUGCAGCAGAAAGAAGGUAUGUGAUAUGUACAUGUGUCUAUGUAUGCGUGUGUAUGUACGCACAUUUAAAAGUGUACUUUACGCACUAAAAAUACCGAAGUAUAGAAAAAUGUCUAGGAAAAUUUUUGAAGGAAUAUUAUAGAAUCAAAAAGCAGAAUUAAAAUACAAAUUUGCACCAUAGGUAUGUGUAAAUCACAAGCUUCUUUAAUACAUUUAUUCUUAUAUUUCAUAUUUAUACACAAGUAACUAUUGUUAUUAAUUAUUAAUUAUUAUUAUAGCAUUUAGCGAUAAUGCAUCUCGGUCUCAAUUGGUUAAUAUUUGACAAAAAUACAAAAAUUAUUAAUGUAUAAUAAUUAUAUCGUAAGAACAAACGUGUUUACUCUGCAAACUUACAUAUUUUGUCUUUAGAGAAACAUCAGCGUUUUUUUCAGUUCUUUUUUUUGUUUUCUCUAGUUCCCUUCAUUUCCCCUUGCUUUUUUCACGCAUUAUACAUUACACACUUAUUAUAUAUAUAUAUAUAUGUAUAUUUUUUUUUUUUUCUGUUCUAAUUCUCGAAAAGUGCGUGACUAAAAACAAAUACUAACUCACAACAAAAAUUUAUAUAAUAUAUAUAUUUACUCGAUUCUUUGCUGCAAAUCGUUUACUUUAUCGAUGCUAGCUAUGUAUGUAUAUGCGAAACACGCGUAUGUCAGAAUGAGCUGUUUGGGUAGUUCCCAUUAAGUCCGUGGGACUACGUCGAAGAUAUAAAUGUAAUCCAAUUCUUUCUCAAAAAGCUUGAGUUUUACAGAUUUACACUUUUCUUCGGGAAAAAAGAAAAAAAAAACUAGGGAAGCUAAUCUACAUUUGGUCUUCCAAGUUUCUCAAAAAACGCAUUCUACUCAUACCGCAUCUAUACGCAAAAGUUUUUCAUGUAUUUAUAUAUUUAUAUAUUUAUAUAUAUACGCGUAGAUAUAUGUAUAUAUAUAUAUAUAGAUAUAUACUUAACGAGACUUUACUUACAACUAUUUACUUCUCGCUUACAUUAGCGAUACUUAGUAAAGCUUUGAACGACUGCCGUGGUUGAGUCGGUUCAUUCGUGAUGAGAGAAGAAAUAUUAUUCUUCACGUUUUUUUAUCGUACACACACGUAAGUCGUAACAAUUCUCACAGCACCUUUGUGAAAAAUGUUUACAUUAUACUUCAUCCGAAGAAAACAUUUCGUGCGUUUGCGUCCGCGACUUUUGUAUUUUUCUCUUGCUCAUCCUCCAACCGAGAGAAAUACAUCAGCGCGUUCAGUUAUAUUCACAAUGCAAAAAUGUGGUUUUUUUUUUUUUUUAAAGAGUACAUGUUUUUUUGUUGGUCAAUGUAUUGUUUUAUUCCGAUUAGUAUGUGUAUAUGACUUAUAUAUAUUAUAGAUCGCAUACUUGUGUGGUGAUCAGUAUGAAGAAUGCAAUAUAUCAACGGAUGUAUACCAGACGGAAUUGAUACAUAUAAUGUAGUUAGCGUUUUCCUUUCAUUACGAUCUCAAUAAAAAAUAUAUAUAUAAACAUCGCUGUGUGUGUGUGUCUUUUUACUCAUUGUUACUGCACAAACGUACUUGAUUAUCAGUAUUCAUCCCUAUAUCGAUCUUUUUCUUUGUGUUCUCUUUCUCUUGUUGAUU